CUUUAAAAAACUAAAAAAAAUCUAAAAAAAAAACUUAAAACAGGCAGAAAAAACUAAAGUAAACUAAAAAAGGAGAAAGGAUAUUAUAAACAAAAUAAAAAAACAGAAGGAAAAGUAUUUCUGAUAAAACACCCUAAAUAUAUUACAAAAAGAACUAAAAAAAAAACUAAAAAAAAAAACUAAAAACAGGCAGACAAAAAACUAAAGAAAAUUAAAAAAAAAGAGAAAGGACAGUGUAAACAAAAUAAAAAAAAACAGAAGGAAAACUAUUUCUGAAAAAAAACACCCUAAAUAUAUAUAACAAAAAGAACUAAAAAAACUAAUAAAAACAUCUUAAAACAGGCAGACAAAAAACUAAAGAAAACUAAAUAAAGAGAAAUGAUAGUAUAAACAAUAUUAAAAAAAACAGAAAGAAAAGUAUAUCAGAAAAAACACCCUAAAUAUAUAGAAAAAAAACAAAAAAAAACUAAAAAAAAAACUUAAAACAGGCAGAAAAAAACUAAAGAAAACUAAAAAAGAGAAAGGAUUGUAUAAACAAAAUAAAACAAAACAGAAGGAAAAGUAUUUCAGAAAAAAACACCCUAAAUAUAUAGAAAAAAAAAAAAAAAAAAAAAAAACUUAAAACAGGUAGAAAAUACUAAAGAAAACUAAAAAAGAGAAAGGAUAGUAUAAACAAAAUAAAAAAACAGAAGGAAAAGUAUUUCAGAAAGGAAAACCCUUAAUAUUUAUAAAUGACAAAAAAAACUAAAGAAAACUGAGAAAAAGAAUAGUAUUCGUAAAAAAAAAAACUAAAAAAAAAAAAGAAACAUCACAGUAUUUCUGAAAAAAAACUUAAAACAGGCAGAAAAAUAAAAAAGAACUAUAGGAAACUAAAGAAAUGAAAAGUAUUUCCGAAAAAAAAGAACAAAAACCCACCCUAAACCGGGUGUUUUGCACAGAAAAAAAAACCCUUGCGGUUUUUCCCUCCCAUGUGAGGGUUUUUUCCCCUCCUUGAGCUACCACCUUACCGUGGUGGAGGGGUUUGUGUGUCCCAAUGAUCCCAGGAGCUAUGUUGUCAGGGCUUUAUGCCUCUGAAAGGUUACCCAAGGCAGCAGGUCCUGGGGGAGGGACCAGACUAAGAGUAGCUCAUCAAGAAAGAGGUGCCAGGCAAAAAAAUAGGAAAAAAAACUGAAGAAAAAAAAACUAAAGGAAACAAAAAACAAAACAAUUAAAACAGGCAGAAAAAAACUAAAGAAAACUAAUAAAAAGAAGAUUAGUAUUUCUAAAAAAAACUUCAAAAAACUAAAAAAAAACUUAUAACAGGCAGACAAAAACUAAAGAAAACUAAAAAGGAGAAAGGAUAGUAUAAACAAAAUAAAAAAAAGAAGGAAAAGUAUUUCAGAAAAAAACAACCUAUAUAUAUAUAUAAAUAACAAAAAACUGAAAAAAACCUUAAAAAAAACCUUAAAAACAGGCAGAAUAAAACUAAAGAAAACUAAAAAAAGAAAAAAAAGAAUAGUAUUUCUAAAAAAAACUUUAAAAAACUAAAAAAAACUAAAAAAAAAACUUAAAACAGGCAGAAAAAAACUAAAGUGAACUAAAAAGAGGAGAAAGGAUAGUGUAAACAAAAUAAAAAAACAGAAGGAAAACUAUUUCCGAAAAAAAAACACCCUAAAUAUAUAUAACAAAAAGAACUAAAAAAACUAAUAAAAAAAACUUAAAACAGGCAGACAAAAAACUAAAGAAAACUAAAAAAAGAGAAAGGAUAGUAUAAACAAAAUUAAAAAAACAGAAAGAAAAGUAUAUCAGAAAAAACACCCUAAAUAUAUAGAAAAAACAAAAAAAAAUUAAAACAGGCAGAAAAAAACUGAAGAAAACUAAAAAAGAGAAAGGAUAGUAUAAACAAAAUAAAAAAACAGAAGGAAAAGUAUUUCAGAAAAGAACAACCUAUAUAUAUAUAAAUAAUAAAAAAAGAAAAAAAAAACUAAAAAAAAAACUUAAAAACAGGCAGGAUAAAACUAAAGAAAACUAAAAAAGAAGAAAAAGAAUAGUAUUUUCUAAAAAAACUUUAAAAAACUAAAAAAACUAAAAAAAACUUAAAACAGGCAGAAAAAAACUAAAGUAAACUAAAAAAAGGAGAAAGGAUAGUGUAUACAAAAUUUAAAAAACAGAAGGAAAAGUAUUUCUGAAAAAAAACACCCUAAAUAUAUAUAACAAAUAGAAUUAAAAAAAACAAAAGAAAGGAUAGGAUAAAGGAUAGAAGGAUAGAAAGGAUAGUAUAAACAAAAUAAAAAAACAGAAGGAAAAGUAUUUCAGAAAAGAACAACCUAUAUAUAUAUAAAUAACAAAAAAACUGAAAAAAACCUGAAAAAAACCCUUAAAAACAGGCAGAAUAAAACUAAAGAAAACUAAAAAAAGAAGAAAAAGAAUAGUAUUUCUAAAAAAACUUUAAAAAACUAAAAAAAAAACUUAAAACAGGCAGAAAAAAACUAAAGUAAACUAAAAAGAGGAGAAAGGAUAGUGUAAACAAAAUAAAAAAAAACAGAAGGAAAAGUAUUUCUGAAAAAAACACCCUAAUUAUAAAAAACAAAAAGAACUCAAAAAACUAAUACAAAAAACUUAAAACAGGCAGACAAAAAACUAAAGAAAAUUAAAAAAA